GUCAUUCGGAGAGAAUACAUGGAGACGACAAAUCAACAAAAUCCAAAUGUUUCACGGAGUACCCACAGGGAUCAUCCACAGGAGCCACAGAAUCCACGGACUAUACCAAUUCGUAACAGGCUAUACGAUCCAAGUUAUGCAGAGAUUGGACAGCCGGUUGAUCCUUAUUUACGCCUUAUGGAGUUGAAUCCAAACUUCUGCAAUAAUAGAGACAACGAGUGAAGAGCAGAUUGGGCUGGCCAGAGCUUUUGAUGGCAUCUAGCAAAGAACAAAAACUAUGAAGGUUUUUUUUGUUAAACUGAAGAACAAAUACCGGCUUAUUUUGAAUUUUUUUUAUAUAAAUUUUUUAUUUAUUUUUGUGAGGAAGUAUGAAAAAAGGUUCGAUGAGGAUCGAAUUCAUACCUCUAUUAUAUAAAAGUUUUACAAACUAUACUCCCUAUUCAA